rnacentral:rRNA from 1 species
UACGUAGGGGGCAAGCGUUGUCCGGAUUUAUUGGGCGUAAAGAGCGUGUAGGCGGCCUGACAGGUCUGCUGUGAAAACUCGAGGCUCAACCUCGAGAUGUCGGCGGAAACCGUCUGGCUAGAGUCCGGAAGAGGAGAGUGGAAUUCCUGGUGUAGCGGUGAAAUGCGCAGAUAUCAGGAAGAACACCUAUAGCGAAGGCAGCUCGCUGGGACGACACUGACGCUGAGACGCGAAAGCGUGGGGAGCAAACAGG